UCGGCCUUAUCAUAUUGGAAACACAGAUUCUCGUCCGAUUACCGAGGUUAAGCAAUGUCGAGCCCGGUCAGUACUUGGGAGGGUGACCACUUGGGAACACCGUAGAUUCUUCCUG
rnacentral:rRNA from 1 species